GAUCAUGGCUCAGGAUGAACGCUAGCUACAGGCUUAACACAUGCAAGUCGAGCGGAAUGCUUCGGCAUUAGCGGCAGACGGGUGAGUAACACGUAUCCAACCUUUCCCUUACUCGGGUAUAGCCUCGGGAAACUGAGAGUAAUCCCCGAUUCAGUGUACGAACAGCAUUAUUUGCACACUAAAGAUUUAGUCGGUAAGGGGUGGGGAUGCGUUCCAUUAGGUAGUAGGCGGGGUAACGGCCCACCUAGCCGAUGAUGGAUAGGGGUUCUGAGAGGAAGGUCCCCCACAUUGGAACUGCGACACGGUCCAAACUCCUACGGGAGGCAGCAGUGAGGAAUAUUGGUCAAUGGUCGAAGGACUGAACCAGCCAAGUAGCGUGCAAGGAUGACGGCCCUAUGGGUUGUAAACUGCUUUUGUGCGGGAAUAACGGUCUCCACGUGUGGAGAUGUGCAUGUACCGUACGAAUAAGGAUCGGCUAACUCCGUGCCAGCCGCCGC
rnacentral:rRNA from 1 species